AUAUUUUCCUAAUAAAGCAGCUUUUCCACCGCACACUGUUCGCUAUAUUUUCUUCAAAGUCGAAGUCGGAGCCGAGAAGUGCAAACUCAACGACGCAGUUUUCUGACUGUCUCGCCCACACUGCCAGCCAUAGCGAAGGUUUGGAGUUUGGAUUCUCAAGAGUAGCUGUUCGCGCCGCACAUCAGCCUAAAAAUCGAGUUGUAUUGUCGAAUUUGUUGGCGACUGGGCAACGGAUUCACCCUUUGAGCUCCCUGAGGAAUUUCAUUAUCUCUGUAAUUUCUCAGCUCACAAGGUUGCUUUUACUGCCUUCAAUUUAUGUAAAUGAUGUCGGGAAGAGAUCGAAUCAGUCAACUUCCUAUAGAAAUACUUGACAAUAUUUUGGGAUUUUUUGCCGAUCGUAGAAGCUGCUAGAACUGCCGUUUUGUCUACCAUUUGGAGAGAUUGUUGGUCCAGUCUCACACAGCUUAACUUUGAUGAUAAGUUCUUUGCUUAUGUUGGGGAAAAAUAUUCUGGCAGUUAUAAUCGCACAUCAACCUGUAUGUAUGUAAUCAACAAAGUUCUCAUGCGGCACCAUGGACCUAUUCGGAAAUUUGCCUUGGUUUUUGAUUGUGACUCACCAAUCAUGAGUGAUACGCAUGGUUCUCGAAAA